rnacentral:lncRNA from 10 species
UAAUGUGGACUGGAUGAAGGAGCCUCGUUGGAAUAAACUCAGAUAGGAAUGAUGAUACCGUGUUUACCUACUAAUGGGAAUGACCCUAUUGAAGAGGGAACAUCACGUAUGUUGGGGAGCGGAAAAGUCAAAGUCCUCGAAAAGGAAGCACUUUGGAAACCAAUGGCUGAAAAGUUUGCUUUCUGUGAGAAGUGUAAAUCAAAGUCAUGUUUCUGUUUCCAGCAGUAGAGGAAAGAGAGAUAAACCUGAUGGACACAAGCAGGUAAAAUCUGCCCAAAAUGACUCUGGGGCUUGUUGAAAAAUUAACGCCUAUGAGAUCUGUCUCAUUCGAGGGCAAGGCAUGGCGGAUCACCUUUCCACAUCAGUGCCUGGGUCUGAUCUGCACCAUCUUUAUACGCUCAGCAGAUUAACUGGAGCCAUCUGAAGGAACCCUAUAACCAGGAGGCCGCUGUCCUCAGGGUUGAGCACCAUCUAUGGUCAUAUCAGGGAAACUGUAUAUUUCCCAGCCAGGAAUAAACAUUCUUGCUUUCAAGUCUCCC